CGCAAGGUAGAGUAACCGGUAACUCAACAGGCUCAUAACCUGCGGCUCCGGGUUCGAGUCCCGGCUUUGCAA
rnacentral:tRNA from 2 species